rnacentral:rRNA from 1 species
AACACGAACCGCACGAACGUUAUUCGGAAUUACUGGGCUUAAAGGGUUUGUAGGCGGCCUUGUAAGUCAGGUGUGAAAUCCCUCGGCUCAACCGAGGAAUGGCGCUUGAUACUGCAAGGCUUGAGGGAGACAGGGGUAAGCGGAACUGAUGGUGGAGCGGUGAAAUGCGUUGAUAUCAUCAGGAGCACCGGUGGCGAAAGCGGCUUACUGGGUCUCUUCUGACGCUGAGGAACGAAAGCUAGGGUAGCGAACGG